rnacentral:tRNA from 1 species
AGUAAUAUAGGUUAUGUUGGACUGUUUAUUUUCAAAAUAAAAGGAGGCUUAUUUAGUCUGUUACUG